GAUCAUGGCUCCGGAUGAACGCUAGCUACAGGCUUAACACAUGCAAGUCGAGGGGCAGCAUGAACUUAGCUUGCUAAGUUUGAUGGCGACCGGCGCACGGGUGAGUAACACGUAUCCAACCUGCCGAUGACUCGGGGAUAGCCUUUCGAAAGAAAGAUUAAUACCCGAUGGCAUAAUUCUUCCGCAUGGUAGAAUUAUUAAAGAAUUUCGGUCAUCGAUGGGGAUGCGUUCCAUUAGG
rnacentral:rRNA from 1 species